rnacentral:rRNA from 1 species
CAGUAGCCACGGGAAUACGAAGGGGGCUAGCGUUGCUCGGAAUGACUGGGCGUAAAGGGCGCGUAGGCGGUUUAUACAGUCAGAUGUGAAAUUCCUGGGCUCAACCUGGGGACUGCAUUUGAUACGUAUGGACUUGAGUGGAGGAGAGGGUCGUGGAAUUUCCAGUGUAGAGGUGAAAUUCGUAGAUAUUGGAAAGAACACCGGUGGCGAAGGCGGCGACCUGGCCUUUAACUGACGCUGAGGCGCGAAAGCGUGGGGAGCAAACAGGAUUAGAUACCCCCGUAGUCCCUGUCUCUUAUAC